rnacentral:lncRNA from 1 species
GGCGGGCGUUUGGCGUUGCAGCUGUGUGGGCGCUGGUGCGUGCGAGUAGCGCUCGAAGAAACCCAAAGGCGUCGUGGGGCUGCCGUGUGCCCCAGAGAGCACUGCAGGCCGGGUAGGGGCUAAGGCUCCCCGCAGUCUUCUGUGUGUCGUCCAGUACGCAGUUGAAAUCGUUCUCCAACCUGGCCAGUCCUCCGAGGCCCUUCUCAGGCGACCAGACUCUGUUAACAGAGUCCAUUGCUAAAACUCCUCGUUAGUAUUUACCACUCCUCCAGUCUGUGUUUUGAAGCAGUGGUUUUCAACCACUGCCCGUUUUCAGAAGAAAUCAUCUCAAGCGUCCGUGUGCUGCUAGAAGCCGGGCCGGGAGGUCUUGGUGCCGGACUCCACCCUGCAGCCCUUCCCUUUCGCCACCGCCCUGUGCUUAGAGAAACCUUAGAGUGGAGCAAUGAGUCGCCCUUGACUGAGUAACUCUUCGGGGUCAACUUCUCCUUCCACGCCAAGGAAAGGAUUCCAGGGCGAUGUUUCUGGAAAUAGAGAUCUGACCAAGCCACUGCUCUGAGUCUCUUUCAGAGCAAUGCAAACCUGAAACUACUCCUGCCAAGAAACGAUUGCAGCUCUUCCCGGAAAAGUUAAAGCCUUUGAGAAACAAAGCUGAGGUUGAAAGUAUUAGUCCAUUUUAUAGAUGAAGAAAUGGAGGCCCAGAGAGAUCACGUGACUUAGCCAAGUCCACCAACUAAUAUUGGGAAGCUCAGCAGGGUCCUGGGGGCCCACAGGAAUGUGAAUAAACACGCUUGGAAAGUCUGCAGAAUUUCCAGUCCUAGCCUCCUGCUGGUGUGAACCUGGGCUCCUGUGCCUGGGACCCUGGGAGGGCCUAGGGGAUGCCAAAUUCCAGGGUCCAGAAAGAGCUUGGGAUAAAAUGAACAUCCAAGGGGAGGGCUUUGACCUGGGCUGAGUCUGCCUGUGCCGAGUCUGCCUGUGCCAUCCAACUGGAGUCUCAAGUCCUGAGGCAGGACGUCCAGAUGCCCCAGUGCAGGGUCCUCCUGAUCAACACCUGCUCCCCUGUACUCAUUAGCAACCUCACCCACCCUACUCUCAAAGCACACUUGGCUCUCAUAUCCAGGAGCUCUGCAUCUGUAGAUUCAGCAACAGCAGAUGGAAAAUAUUCAGAAAAUAAAUUGGACAGUUAUAUUUC